UACGUAGGGGGCCAGCGUUGUCCGAAGUUACUGGGCGUAAAGAGCGCGUAGGCGGGCCUUUAAGUGGGGGGUGAAAGGUUGGGGCUCAACCCCAACACUGCCUUUCAUACUGGGGGCCUUGAGUGCGGGAGAGGCGAGUGGAAUGGUCGGUGUAGCGGUGAAAUGCGUAGAUAUCAGGAGGAACACCGGUGGCGAAGGCGGGUCUCUGGGCCGAUACUGACGCUGAGGAGCGAAAGCGUGGGGAGCGAACAGG
rnacentral:rRNA from 1 species